rnacentral:rRNA from 1 species
UACAGAGGGUGCGAGCGUUAUUCGGAAUUACUGGGCGUAAAGCGUGCGUAGGCGGUUAUUUAAGUCGGGUGUGAAAGCCCCGGGCUCAACCUGGGAAUUGCAUUCGAGACUGAAUAGCUAGGGUGCGGUAGAGGGAAGCGGAAUUUCCGGUGUAGCGGUGAAAUGUGUAGAUAUCGGAAGGAACACCAGUGGCGAAAGCGGCUUCCUGGACCAGCACCGACGUUCAGGCACGAAAGCGUGGGGAGCAAACAGG